rnacentral:lncRNA from 1 species
CCAGUGUGGCCGUAAGCGGUGUCGGGGAAAUCGCCAUAGCCAAGGCAUGACGCGAAUCCAUUGGGAGGAUUCUGCUCGUAGAGGAACUGGAUGACCGUCUCCACAUUCUUCUGGAACUGGCUCCCUUGGGUGGUCUUGCGGGUGGCGUUAUACACGACACCAGGUUUGGUGUCGCUGCUUGGCUCGUCGGGUGGAAUGCCUUGCGCUGCCGAG